UGGGGAAUAUUGGACAAUGGGCGCAAGCCUGAUCCAGCCAUGCCGCGUGAGUGAUGAAGGCCCUAGGGUUGUAAAGCUCUUUCACCGGUGAAGAUAAUGACGGUAACCGGAGAAGAAGCCCCGGCUAACUUCGUGCCAGCAGCCGCGGUAAUACGAAGGGGGCUAGCGUUGUUCGGAUUUACUGGGCGUAAAGCGCACGUAGGCGGACUAUUAAGUCAGGGGUGAAAUCCCGGGGCUCAACCCCGGAACUGCCUUUGAUACUGGUAGUCUUGAGUUCGAGAGAGGUGAGUGGAAUUCCGAGUGUAGAGGUGAAAUUCGUAGAUAUUCGGAGGAAAACCAGUGGCGAAGGCGGCUCACUGGCUAGAUACUGACGCUGAGGUGCGAAAGCGUGGGGAGCAAACAGG
rnacentral:rRNA from 1 species